rnacentral:rRNA from 1 species
UACGUAGGUGGCAAGCGUUACUCGGAAUCACUAGGCGUAAAGCGCAGGUAGGCGGUUUGAUAAGUCUGUUGUGAAAGCUCCUGGCUUAACUGGGAGAGGCCAACGGAAACUGUCAGGCUAGAGUGUGGUAGAGGAAACUGGAAUUCCUGGUGUAGCGGUGAAAUGCGUAGAUAUCAGGAGGAACACCUAUGGCGAAAGCAGGUUUCUGGGCCAUCACUGACGCUGAGCUGCGAAAGCUAGGGGAGCAAACAGG